rnacentral:rRNA from 1 species
UCUUUAUGGGGUGACUGCGUACCUUUUGUAUAAUGGGUCAGCGACUUAUAUUCUGUAGCAAGGUUAACCGAAUAGGGGAGCCGAAGGGAAACCGAGUCUUAACUGGGCGUUAAGUUGCAGGGUAUAGACCCGAAACCCGGUGAUCUAGCCAUGGGCAGGUUGAAGGUUGGGUAACACUAACUGGAGGACCGAACCGACUAAUGUUGAAAAAUUAGCGGAUGACUUGUGGCUGGGGGUGAAAGGCCAAUCAAACCGGGAGAUAGCUGGUUCUCCCCGAAAGCUAUUUAGGUAGCGCCUCGUGAACUCAUCUCCGGGGGUAGAGCACUGUUUCGGCAAGGGGGUCAUCCCGACUUACCAACCCGAUGCAAACUGCGAAUACCGGAGAAUGUUAUCACGGGAGACACACGGCGGGUGCUAACGUCCGUCGUGAAGAGGGAAACAACCCAGACCGCCAGCUAAGGUCCCAAAGUCAUGGUUAAGUGGGAAACGAUGUGGGAAGGCCCAGACAGCCAGGAUGUUGGCUUAGAAGCAGCCAUCAUUUAAAGAAAGCGUAAUAGCUCACUGGUCGAGUCGGCCUGCGCGGAAGAUGUAACGGGGCUAAACCAUGCACCGAAGCUGCGGCAGCGACACUAUGUGUUGUUGGGUAGGGGAGCGUUCUGUAAGCCUGUGAAGGUGUACUGUGAGGUAUGCUGGAGGUAUCAGAAGUGCGAAUGCUGACAUAAGUAACGAUAAAGCGGGUGAAAAGCCCGCUCGCCGGAAGACCAAGGGUUCCUGUCCAACGUUAAUCGGGGCAGGGUGAGUCGACCCCUAAGGCGAGGCCGAAAGGCGUAGUCGAUGGGAAACAGGUUAAUAUUCCUGUACUUGGUGUUACUGCGAAGGGGGGACGGAGAAGGCUAUGUUGGCCGGGCGACGGUUGUCCCGGUUUAAGCGUGUAGGCUGGUUUUCCAGGCAAAUCCGGAAAAUCAAGGCUGAGGCGUGAUGACGAGGCACUACGGUGCUGAAGCAACAAAUGCCCUGCUUCCAGGAAAAGCCUCUAAGCAUCAGGUAACAUCAAAUCGUACCCCAAACCGACACAGGUGGUCAGGUAGAGAAUACCAAGGCGCUUGAGAGAACUCGGGUGAAGGAACUAGGCAAAAUGGUGCCGUAACUUCGGGAGAAGGCACGCUGAUAUGUAGGUGAGGUCCCUCGCGGAUGGAGCUGAAAUCAGUCGAAGAUACCAGCUGGCUGCAACUGUUUAUUAAAAACACAGCACUGUGCAAACACGAAAGUGGACGUAUACGGUGUGACGCCUGCCCGGUGCCGGAAGGUUAAUUGAUGGGGUUAGCGGUAACGCGAAGCUCUUGAUCGAAGCCCCGGUAAACGGCGGCCGUAACUAUAACGGUCCUAAGGUAGCGAAAUUCCUUGUCGGGUAAGUUCCGACCUGCACGAAUGGCGUAAUGAUGGCCAGGCUGUCUCCACCCGAGACUCAGUGAAAUUGAACUCGCUGUGAAGAUGCAGUGUACCCGCGGCAAGACGGAAAGACCCCGUGAACCUUUACUAUAGCUUGACACUGAACAUUGAGCCUUGAUGUGUAGGAUAGGUGGGAGGCUUUGAAGUGUGGACGCCAGUCUGCAUGGAGCCGACCUUGAAAUACCACCCUUUAAUGUUUGAUGUUCUAACGUUGACCCGUAAUCCGGGUUGCGGACAGUGUCUGGUGGGUAGUUUGACUGGGGCGGUCUCCUCCUAAAGAGUAACGGAGGAGCACGAAGGUUGGCUAAUCCUGGUCGGACAUCAGGAGGUUAGUGCAAUGGCAUAAGCCAGCUUGACUGCGAGCGUGACGGCGCGAGCAGGUGCGAAAGCAGGUCAUAGUGAUCCGGUGGUUCUGAAUGGAAGGGCCAUCGCUCAACGGAUAAAAGGUACUCCGGGGAUAACAGGCUGAUACCGCCCAAGAGUUCAUAUCGACGGCGGUGUUUGGCACCUCGAUGUCGGCUCAUCACAUCCUGGGGCUGAAGUAGGUCCCAAGGGUAUGGCUGUUCGCCAUUUAAAGUGGUACGCGAGCUGGGUUUAGAACGUCGUGAGACAGUUCGGUCCCUAUCUGCCGUGGGCGCUGGAGAACUGAGGGGGGCUGCUCCUAGUACGAGAGGACCGGAGUGGACGCAUCACUGGUGUUCGGGUUGUCAUGCCAAUGGCACUGCCCGGUAGCUAAAUGCGGAAGAGAUAAGUGCUGAAAGCAUCUAAGCACGAAACUUGCC